AGCGGCAUAAGCGCCUGCCUUGCAAGCAGGCAGUCCUGAGUUCAAUUCCCGGUACCGCUA
rnacentral:tRNA from 1 species